rnacentral:rRNA from 1 species
UUCCGGUUGAUCCUGCCGGAGGCCAUUGCUAUCGGAGUCCGAUUUAGCCAUGCUAGUCGAGCGAGGUUAGCCCUCGCGGCGAACAGCUCAGUAACACGUGGCCAAGCUACCCUGCAGAGGGGGACAGCGUCGGGAAACUGACGGGAAUCCCCCAUACCGGUCUCACGCUGGAAUGCCGAGACCGACAAACGCUCCGGCGCUGCAGGAUGCGGCUGCGGCCGAUUAGGUAGUCGGUGGGGUAACGGCCCACCGAGCCGAUAAUUGGUACGGGGUGUGAGAGCACGAGCCCGGAGACGGAAUCUGAGACAAGAUUCCGGGCCCUACGGGGCGCAGCAGGCGCGAAACCUUUACACUGCACGAACGUGCGAUAAGGGGACUCCGAGUGCGAGGGCAUACAGUCCUCGCUAUUGUGUACCGUAGGGUGGUACACGACCAAGAGCUGGGCAAGACCGGUGCCAGCCGCCGCGGUAAUACCGGCAGCUCGAGUGAUGGCCGAUUUUAUUGGGCCUAAAGCGUCCGUAGCUGGCCCUGCAAGUCCGUCGGGAAAUCCACUCGCCUAACGAGUGGGCGUCCGGCGGAAACUACAGGGCUUGGGACCGGAAGACUUGAGGGGUACGUCUGGGGUAGGAGUGAAAUCCUGUAAUCCUGGACGGACCGCCGAUAGCGANGCACCUCAAGACGACGGAUCCGACAGUGAGGGACGAAAGCUAGGGUCUCGAACCGGAUUAGAUACCCGGGUAGUCCUAGCUGUAAACGAUGUUCGCUAGAUGUGGCACAGGCUACGUGCCUGUGCUGUGUCGUAGGGAAGCCGAGAAGCGAACCGCCUGGGAAGUACGUCCGCAAGGAUGAAACUUAAAGGGACUGG